rnacentral:rRNA from 1 species
AUUGAACGCUGGCGGCAGGCCUAACACAUGCAAGUCGAGCGGACCGCCGGACGGGGGAGUAAUGCCUAGGAAUCUGCCUGGGAGUGGGGGAGAACGUCCGGAAACGGGAGCUAAUACCGCAUACUAUCAGAUGAGCCUAGGUCGGAUUAGAUAGUUGGGGGGGUAAGGGCCUACCAAGGCGACGGUCCGUAACUGGUCUGAGAGGAUGAUCAGUCACACUGGAACUGAGACACGGUCCAGACUCCUACGGGAGGCAGCAGUGGGGAAUAUUGGACAAGUGGCGAAAGCCUGAUCCAGCCAGGCCGCGUGUGUGAAGAAGGUCUGCGGAUUGUAAAGUACUUUAAGUUGGGAGGCGUUACCAACAGAAUAAGCACCGGCUAACUUCGUGCCAGCCGCCGCGGUAAUAC